GAUGAACGCUGGCGGCGUGCUUAACACAUGCAAGUCGAACGAUGAAGCCCAGCUUGCUGGGUGGAUUAGUGGCGAACGGGUGAGUAACACGUGAGUAACCUGCCCUUGACUCUGGGAUAAGCCUGGGAAACUGGGUCUAAUACUGGAUAUGACUUCUCAUCGCAUGGUGGGGGGUGGAAAGAUUUAUUGGUCUUGGAUGGACUCGCGGCCUAUCAGCUUGUUGGUGAGGUAAUGGCUCACCAAGGCGACGACGGGUAGCCGGCCUGAGAGGGUGACCGGCCACACUGGGACUGAGACACGGCCCAGACUCCUACGGGAGGCAGCAGUGGGGAAUAUUGCACAAUGGGCGCAAGCCUGAUGCAGCGACGCCGCGUGAGGGAUGACGGCCUUCGGGUUGUAAACCUCUUUCAGUAGGGAAGAAGCGAGAGUGACGGUACCUGCAGAAGAAGCGCCGGCUAACUACGCG
rnacentral:rRNA from 1 species